CCUGUCUGCGGGAAUGGUGUCUCCCGUAAAACCGCGCUGAUGCUGAUGACGCCUGCUUUUCG
rnacentral:ncRNA from 2 species